ensembl:lncRNA
GGCAUUAUUAGACUGAAGAAGUUUGAGCUGGUUGGUAGACUGUGUACCUGGCUAAACGUCACAACAUAAUAUUUACAACUGGUGUUGUCAGCUGGUAUUUGGGAAUAUGGUUAGAAUUAAAAUUUUAAAAAAUAUGUAACCUGUUAAACGACAAAUUCUAGUUAUUAGACUGUUGGCUCAGCAUAUGCUCCUUGGCCUGUAUUCAAGGAUCUGAUUGGUUUCACCUGAGCUGACUGGCCCACCACACACACACACACACACACACAUUCUCGUUAAGAAUGGAGGAAGGCAAGAGAAGACCUCCAUCGAGAGAGCAAAUAAUGAACCACACCUCAUCCGAAAAUUGGUUUAAGGAAAGGCAGAAGUCAGCAAUUACAGACAGACAGCAUGACAGAGCACCAAAGGCACAUGGUCCCUGUAGCUUCCAGAACCUAAGAAGAAGUAACAGUCUCCAAACAGACACUGGCCAAAAGGGACGCCCUCCUGAACAGCCUGGAAAGCAGUCAAAGCAUAUGCAUGAGCCUUUUCCCCAUAACAAAAGAAUAAAUUGGAGAGCAUCAGACACAGCCAAAAGAGGUUAUAGAGGGAGUAGACAUUUAAAUACAGAGGAAACACCAAAGUCAAGGGUUAUAAAUAUCAGCUCAUUUGAAGUGAAGUUGUCUGACUUUCCGGAACUAUGUGACGUUACCACCAGCAACUCUAAGACUGCCUUUAGUGAAGAGCCACGGCUGUGCUGGAGUCCAGGUGCUUCACCAGCUCUUCAGAAUUCAUCAGCAGCUCCAAGUAAGAUGUCAGGAAACGCAGUACAAAAGCAAAAGUCAAUUCACCAAGUCCCCUCAACAGAAAUGUGUGUGAAUCCUUUGUCUGUCACACCAGGUCAUGAUAUUGAACUUGUGUUACCCAAUCCCUAUGGAUUACCAGUAACUUCCUGGGCCAACAUUGCCUCUCAACCUCCUAAAGUUGUCCAAAAGAUUUCCACCACACAUAUGUCUUCUCAGGUACAGCAUAGCAGUAUCCACCAGAAGUUCUCACAGCACAGUGGAAUUGCAGUACACUGUCAUAUGUAUCUUGAAAUCAUCGUUAUUAACGGUUGUAAAUGUAAGUGA